GAAGAGACAGCAUGUGGUAAACACUGGUUGUGGAGGCUGAGGGAGAGGCAGAAAUGGAGUAGGACUUUGAAGUUGCUCAGUACAAGGGAGACUGGUGGCUGGUGGUACUGUUCAUUGAGGUGCAAGAACAAGCAACAAGAUGGGUUUUCUGCUCCAGGGUUCUUCUGACUAGAGAGUGACCACUAACAUUGGCACAGGUGGUCAGGGACCAAACGAGAAGACAGGAUGUCCGUGGCUGAGAAACUGGAGCAAGCCUGCCUCAGAAUGAAACCACAGAGGUCAACUGCCACGCUUCGGGCUCAAGGUAAAACACCCUUUAAAAGCUGUUAUCUAGAAUAUGUCCCGUCUACUGCACACCUCUUUUUUGGUUACGCUGUGCACCAUCUCCAGUUGAAAGACUGUGGAGUGGGAAUUUCAGAGCCAGAUUACCCAGGCAAGUGACCUCAGGCAAGGCGCUUAAACCUCCCUCUGCUUCGGCUUCCUCAUAUGCAAAAUAAGAAGUUCUUCACGAGGCUGUUAUAAGAAUGAUAUGAGUUCGUAUAUAUAAAUGUGUGCCUGGCACAAAGUCAAGUACCUGAUAAGCACUUGCUAUCAUUAUUAAUAAGUAACAGAAUGCUCAACUACACAUGGUACAAAUGUUAGAGACUUACUACGGAACGAGAUUGGAAGCAGACAGUGCCAGAGCUGGUGCUGUUGCUUGAUAACCAAGUUGUCAAGGACCAGACUCUUCCCAAAUCCCGUUUUGCCGUGAUCAGCUUGUUAGUGAUUUCUCACCUCAUGGUGGCAGAAAGACUGCAGUAGCUCCAAGUAUCAAGUCCUUACUCAACCAACAUUCCAAGCAGGAAAUAAGGGGUUGGGGUGGGGGGGGGGCUUUCUUCUUUGUGUAACCCUCACUUAUCAAGGAGGAGAAUCUUUCCUAGAAGCCCCCAGUAGGUUUCCUUUCAGCUAGAACCGGGCCACAGGCCCAUCCCUAACUUGAAGAGAGGCUAGAAAAGAAUGUGACACUUCUAACCUACAACAAAUGAGGCAAAAGUGGAAUUGGGGUUGGCUGUUGCUUGUAUUGCCUGCCACAUUCUGAGAACCAAAGAGUUUCAAAGAUGCCUCACUCAGGCCAGGGGUAAUUGAGAAACAAGGACAUAGAUGUAUUUAUUGAGAGUGAGUCAGCCAUAGGGUUCACCUUUCAGAGGCCAUCAGCUUUUUUGAGAAUAGCUUUUUAACCCAGGUGAGUGUCCUAUUGGUAAAAUAUGGAGAAAGGAUAUUUUUGAGCAAGGGGUCCUUUCUAGUAUUCUUGCUUCUUCUAGGCUGUCACUAUCCCUAGGAGGGGGCUCAUAAUUCAGUUCACCUUUAUUUAAAAGGUUGCCCAGGCCAUUCACUGUUAAAAUUACUUACAAGAAAGUACAGGCCAGCUUCCUUCCCUUUCACUGCCCCUUGCAGCAGUCUCUGCCACAAUGACAGGUCUAAUGGGCAGGGAGAGCUAUGUGAGAAGAGCUACUCUUUCCUCCUUAGAAGUUGGUCUUAAAUCCAGCUGUUCCCCUGCAAUCCACAUCCCCACGCUCACUGCCGGAGUUUGGGCCUCAAGCAUCUUUCAUCCGGGCUCCUGUUCGAGUUUCUCCUUCGCAAGAAAGAAGGCAAUGCAGUAAAGUGGAAAGAGAGCUACGAAGGAACCAGAAGAAAACUUCUGUAAGCACCCAGAGAAAGCCUUAUUCCCACUGUCCAAUUCUGCUAACAAAGACGAGGAGAAAAUUUUAAAUUCCAAGGCACUUAGUUACUGAUCUGAUUCUGGCCUGCAUGUGGAUAUUCAAUAAAUACUCGUUAAAUUAAAUUGAUUCAAGGUUUUAUUUAUUCAGCCUACUUAAAGCUUAUGUAAACCCCUUGGAGAUUUGUGUCAAGCUGUUAAAUUGGAAAAUAUAUGAAAGGUAGUAUUUUCACUAGACCAGCUUUCCUCUUAAUGAGCUUUAUGAGCUUAAUGUAGAUGGGUGUGCGUGUGUGUGUGCGUGUGUGUGUGUGUCCAGGAGAGAAGCAGGAGGA
rnacentral:lncRNA from 1 species